GCAAACUUGGUCAUUUAGAGGAAGUAAAAGUCGUAACAAGGUUUCCGUAGGUGAACCUGCGGAAGGAUCAUUAUCGAGUACAGGUUCCAAUCGGAGCCCAUACUCCAGCACUCUGUGUAGAUACGAUAUUGCUUUGGCAUGGUCUUUCUGUCACCAAUGUAGAGUUGGUGAAGUUGGUUCGUUUCGACGUUGCCAGAGAAUUUAUUGGAACACUUUAAAUACAGUAUGGGGUCUGAGUUAUUUAUGUAUGCAGUUAAAACUUUCAACAAUGGAUCUCUUGGUUCUGGCAUCGAUGAAGAACGCAGC
rnacentral:misc_RNA from 1 species